AACGAACGCUGGCGGCAUGCCUAACACAUGCAAGUCGAACGAGACCUUCGGGUCUAGUGGCGCACGGGUGCGUAACGCGUGGGAACCUGCCCUUAGGUUCGGAAUAACUCCCCGAAAGGGGUGCUAAUACUGGAUAAUGUCUUCGGACCAAAGAUUUAUCGCCUUUGGAUGGGCCCGCGUUGGAUUAGCUAGUUGGUAGGGUAAAAGCCUACCAAGGCGACGAUCCAUAGCUGGUCUGAGAGGAUGAUCAGCCACACUGGGACUGAGACACGGCCCAGACUCCUACGGGAGGCAGCAGUGGGGAAUAUUGGACAAUGGGCGAAAGCCUGAUCCAGCAAUGCCGCGUGAGUGAUGAAGGCCUUAGGGUUGUAAAGCUCUUUUACCCGGGAUGAUAAUGACAGUACCGGGAGAAUAAGCUCCGGCUAACUCCGU
rnacentral:rRNA from 1 species